rnacentral:rRNA from 1 species
UACGUAGGGUGCGAGCGUUGUCCGGAAUUAUUGGGCGUAAAGAGCUUGUAGGCGGUUUGUCGCGUCUGCCGUGAAAAUUCGAGGCUCAACCUCGAACUUGCGGUGGGUACGGGCAGACUAGAGUGUGGUAGGGGAGACUGGAAUUCCUGGUGUAGCGGUGAAAUGCGCAGAUAUCAGGAGGAACACCGAUGGCGAAGGCAGGUCUCUGGGCCACUACUGACGCUGAGAAGCGAAGGCAUGGGGAGCGAACAGG